rnacentral:rRNA from 1 species
GACAGAGGGUGCAAACGUUGUUCGGAAUUACUGGGCGUAAAGCGCGUGUAGGCGGCUAAGUAAGUCGGGCGUGAAAUCCCACGGCUCAACCGUGGAAGUGCACUCGAAACUGCAUAGCUAGAGUCCUGGAGAGGAAGGUGGAAUGCUUGGUGUAGAGGUGAAAUUCGUAGAUAUCAAGCGGAACACCGGUGGCGAAGGCGGCUCACUGGCCCGGUACUGACGCUGAGGUGCGAAAGCGUGGGGAGCAGACAGG